rnacentral:tRNA from 1 species
GGGUGUUUGCCCGAGUGGUUAAGGGGGUGGACCUGAAAUCCUGUAGCCUAGGUCAGCGUGGGUUCGAGUCCCGCAGCACACA